AGAACGAACGCUGGCGGCAGGCUUAACACAUGCAAGUCGAGCGCCCCGCAAGGGGAGCGGCAGACGGGUGAGUAACGCGUGGGAACAUACCCUCCGGUUCGGAAUAGCUCAGGGAAACUUGGAUUAAUACCGGAUACGGCCUAGCGGCGAAAGAUUCAUCGCCGGAGGAUUGGCCCGCGUUCGAUUAGCUAGUUGGUGAGGUAACGGCUCACCAAGGCGACGAUCGAUAGCUGGUCUGAGAGGAUGAUCAGCCACAUUGGGACUGAGACACGGCCCAAACUCCUACGGGAGGCAGCAGUGGGGAAUAUUGGACAAUGGGCGCAAGCCUGAUCCAGCCGUGCCGCGUGAGUGAUGACGGCCUUAGGGUUGUAAAGCUCUUUCGCUAGGGACGAUAAUGACGGUACCUAGACAAGAAGCCCCGGCUAACUUCGUGCCAGCAGCCGC
rnacentral:rRNA from 1 species